GAGGAUGAGAAUGCGCUGACAGUGAGGAGACAUCUUGGCGUCACAUUCUGCAGAGAGAAGUUUUAGCUGGAACAAGUCCUCGCGUGUGUUAUGACUGACAGUGAUCCAGAGCCACCACUGAAACAUUAAGAAUGCAGCCUCCCUCUACUACUUUAACGGAGCAGUGGCUACUGGAAACAGAUGUGCCGCUUACAGACACAUCUGCUAGAAGAUGCUGCAGAACUGCAUCAGUAGUGGUGGUAACUAACUAUACCUGAAUGCGGAGGACGUCAGAUUCGAUGGACUGCGACGAUGACCAGCGUUUUUUUUCAUUUAAAUAAAAUUGUUAAGGAGGGCUGUGGGGGGAGUGUUGUUUUUAAACACAUUUUUUUCAAUGUGUCAUGUUUUUUAUAACUGAAUUUUCAGGGUUAGUAGUGGAAGCUGUCAUAUAGACGGAAUCCAUUACUAAGAGUAUAGCAUACUUAAAUUGAACAGACCAGGGAGAGUCCACUUCUUCUGUGCGCUUCAGGUGGGUGCAGGGGAUCCAAUCUCCGAGUAGCAAUCAGGGGAUCUGCGGCGGUCGGGGAGGGAGAAUCCCCACUGGAGGAGAGCCUCAAAGCAGGCUUCAAUAGAGAUGCUAGCGUACAUUUUAUUCUGACGCAAAAUCAGGAUUUUUGUCAGGAAGCCCAAGCGGUACGGAAUCUCCAGGCAUCCGUUCCUGUGUGAGGGAAUGAAGAUUUCUCCUGGCUUAAAGUGUUGCUGCUGAUAAAACAACAAAAAGCUGGAUAUCAUCCUACGGUGCAGGUAAGGAUUUACGUUUCCUCGAAUACUGUAGUAGUAGGUCCUUGGUUUUCAUAGAAGGUGUAGCGAGCAAGAACAUCCCUCGGGAGGUCAUCAGGUAGAGAUUUAGGUGCUCUGUCAAUGGUAUGUUCAAACACCGCCAGAUCAGAUAAAAAGUGACGGGUCAGCUCUUUCACGUACUUGGCAAGCUGAGAAUUAGGUACCGUCUCCGGAAUGCCGCGGAAUUUAAUAUUGUUACGUCUAUUGCGGUCUUCAGAGUCCACCAUCUUCUCCUGUA